UUCUCAGUUUUCCCACUGCAGCUGCGGGACCAAAGGGAAUAGAAAAAAAACCCUUUUAAAGAGCUGAGAUGACAAUUUCAAGUGCUGGGCACUUAGGUGAGGUGUUGUGAAACCCGAACUGCGAGAGCUCAGCGAUGCUCUCAGACCUGGGUCGCGGCAGAGGAGCGUGCUGCAGCUACCUGGCGCUGCGCUUUCUCGGCUGAAACAGGCCGUGUGAGUCAGAGCGAAAUUUUCCAUCGGGAACCUCUGCCCGGCUGCUAAGACCGAGGCUGCAGAGUGUUUUUCCCCUUGCUUGCUCGCUUGUCGCCGCCUCCUCGUGUGCAGCCCCGAGCGCCGCCGGGCCAGUCCCCCGCGCGCACGCCGGCUCUCCCUCCGGCCGGGGCCUGCCGCGUCCCCGUGAUUUAUGGCAGGAAACGUCGACUGCAGGGUAACAAAUGGCUGGGGGGGUUUUCUUCCCUUUCCCCUCCUGAUCAACUAUUGCAGUAAGACAACUUUCAGUUUUUCUUCCCUUUCCUCCCCAAUCUAUGCCUGAACCGCAAUAUUGGUUAAAAAUAUCAUCUGCGGGAAGAAAAGGGAAAUAACCGAGCACCUCAAAGCCGGCUGCCUGGGGCCGUCCUGGCGGGAGCAGCAGUGAGGACCGGCACCGGGGCCGGUAUCGGGCUGAUACCUAAUGCCGCCGCGUCGGCGUGCGAGAAUGGGGCCUUCUUCUCCAGCAGCCGAGCGUGCCGGCUCGCCGGCGUUCCCGAGUGCAGAGCACACGGCACCCGCCGCGGCCCUCCGCACGGCCCGUUGACACGCCGCUCUCGGGUUUCAUCCUGAAAAUCUGGAGCUUUGCGCUGAGCAAAUAACAUGAUCUUCUCCCUUCAUCUGGAAAGGAUAAAGACAAUCGCUGGCGCUCGGAGCGGAUCGCUCGGUCCGUCCCCCCGCCUCCCGCUCCGCUUUCUGCGCAAGCCCCAACUUGCUACCCGCAAGUCGCAACUCGCAUGUUUUCACUUGAAAACUUUAAACUGCGGGGGUGAGGAGCAAGAGCGGAGGGGAAGGAUGAGGGAGAUUAUAAAGAGGGCUGCUAGCGUAACCAGGCACGUCUGGGCGCCCCUCGCGCCCCCCGCCAGGCCGCUGCGCCCCAUCGGGGCCAAGCCUGCUCACCCCGACGACCUUACUUGCAUUUUCAGAUCCCCCCAGACCAGCUCCUACCUCUCUGCUGACCAUCACCCCGCAGCUCCAUCACUGGUCAAGUGAGCCCUGAUCCAGCCAACGCUGCUGGCGACUUGCAGGCCGGCGCUGCCCUGGAAAACCAGCCCAGCCAGCGGGAGAAAGGCCGUCCAGCGGCAAUGCGUGGUGUGGGAUGAUGCGUGGUACCCGUUUUUGGCUAGCUGGGUCGUCUGUCACUAUGAACAUCCCUCUCCUUCCCUCUCUGCUUUCUAUGGUAAGGGAGGAUUUCCUGCCCCUCCAGGCAGCACGUGAGGUUAUUCCCCUCUGCCGCGGGUUUGCAAGGAGCCGAGGCCAUGCCUCCGGUGGGAAACACCUGGAGCAACACGGAGCAUCUCCAUCCAUGCCUUCUCCACCACCCGUGCCUGGGCUGUGCAGAAGAAACCCCCACCGCUCCCCGGCUCCGUUCGGCUGCUGCAGGCGCUUGGCACAGCGUGUCCCAGUCAUUACGGGCUGCAACGGCAAAUGGAGCUUGCAGGGCUGCUGUUUUACCACUAAAAGAGAUGAUGGAAAUCCGCAGUGCCAGGCUGUGCGGGGCCCGUGGCACGCGCUGGAAGAGGCUCCUUGCAGAUGCAACGUGGAUGGCGUCACCUUGCCCAUGGUUCCUGGUGGCAGGGCCGAGCCAGCAGCUCCUGCGCUGGAGCCAGACCGUCCCCGAGCCCCGAUGCACCCGGAGCGCUGGCAGGGAGAGGCUCAGCCCCCCGGGAACGGAGAAGACUCGCAGCCAGCUUUUGGGGCGGGCAGAGCCCAAACCCUGCAGAGAGCGUGGGCUCUGCACCUCCGGCCGGCCGUCUCUCCUGGGGGGCAGCCCCGGCCCCGGCGCUGGUGGCAGAAACACUAACGGUGGGGGAGAGUUUGGGUGGAGGCAAGAAGGAAGCGCGAGUCAGGAUUUUUCACCCUGAAACCCCCCCCAUCAGCAUUUAAACCUAAAAUGCAAGUUUCCCCUUUGCUUUUCUGCCUCCUUCCUUUCUCCUGGGGCAGGGGAGCUGCUGGGCAGGCGGGGAGAGGGGGCUGGGCAGGUCCCGCCGGCAGUGAGAGCACACGGGGGAGGUGGGAAAUUUCAGCGAAAAAUUUCCUUUUUGAGAGAGGCUACUUUUCCAUCCCUUAACAAAAUAAAAGGGGUUUUUCGUGAAAAAUUUCAGGCAGUCCCAUUGUUUCGCUGCAGCCUUUGAUUUAACUACUCGAUCAAGUAUUCGACAAAACCCUCCGUGUUUUUCAGGAGGUUUCUUAAAUCCUGCCGAGGUAUGGGAUUAUGAGGAACAACAAACGGCAAGCUGUCUCUAACCCCGCAGACUUUCUCACUCUCGUUUUCUCUCCCGCUUUGGAAUAAAAAAUGCAGUGCUCCCCGCUGAGUCCUCUUUAAAAUUCACAUUGUCUCUUCAAAUAAAGGCUGGGAGGGUGAGGUAGCGCUUUGAAACCAGAACUCAGCCCUACAUCGCAGGGCCAGAUCCUAGAGGAUUAUUCUCUCUCCGGACACUUUAUAACUUCAUGAGAACUUCGGGCCUGGCUUGUCUCGCCAGGCAAGCGGGAGCCGCCCCGGCUCCAGCGGCGGCCUUGGCCGAGGGGAUGUUAGUCGCUGGGGGAUGCCUCAGCCCACCGCGUGCAUUCGCCCCUGGAGAAUUUGAGGCCCUUUGCAAGCCGGGGCAGCAGUAACGCCCUGGGGAGCUGCAGCCUUCACCCCUGGAAAGCCCCGAGCUGAAGGAGCAGCUUGUUCCCACCAGCAGCCACCGGUGGGGCAGCGUGGCCGUGCCUUUGCUGUCUGAGGGCCUCUGGCUGGGGAAUGAAUAGAGGCCUUUUCCUCCCUCUGCUAACCUCUCGCAGGCAUUGCAUUUCACUGACAAAAGCCUACGGGCGAGGAGGGGGAGCUGGCAACUUCCUUUGCUGUUGUUUCAGUCUGUGUCUUUUCCCGAUGUUGCAAAGAGAGAAAUAAGUAUAAUAAACGAGCGUAUUCAAA